rnacentral:rRNA from 1 species
CCUACGGGAGGCAGCAGUGGGGGAUAUUGCACAAUGGGGGAAACCCUGAUGCAGCGAUGCCGCGUGAAUGAAGACGGCCUUCGGGUUGUAAAGUUCUGUCGAAGGGGACGAAAAAGACGGUACCUGAAGAAUAAGCUCCGGCUAACUACGUGCCAGCAGCCGCGGUAAUACGUAGGGAGCGAGCGUUAUCCGGAAUUAUUGGGCGUAAAGGGGGCGUAGAUGGCAUAGUAAGUCUUUUGUCAACAUGCUGGGCUCAACCCAGUCGGGCAACAGAUACUGCAAAGCUAGAGUAUGACAGAGGCAAGUGGAACUACAUGUGUAGCGGUCAACUGCGUACAUAUCUGUCAGCACCCCAGUGGCGACGGCGGCUUGCUGGGUCGCUCCUGACAUUGAGGCAC